rnacentral:rRNA from 1 species
GACGAACGCUGGCGGCGUGCCUAAUACAUGCAAGUGGGACGCAAGAGAACACACUGUGCUUGCACACCUGUUUUCUUGAGUCGCGAACGGGUGAGUAACGCGUAGGUAACCUCCCUAUUAGCGGGGGAUAACUAUUGGAAACGAUAGCUAAUACCGCAUAAUAUUAAUUAUUGCAUGAUAAUUGAUUGAAAGAUGCAAGCGCAUCACUAGUAGAUGGACCUGCGUUGUAUUAGCUAGUUGGUAAGGUAAGAGCUUACCAAGGCGACGAUACAUAGCCGACCUGAGAGGGUGAUCGGCCACACUGGGACUGAGACACGGCCCAGACUCCUACGGGAGGCAGCAGUAGGGAAUCUUCGGCAAUGGACGAAAGUCUGACCGAGCAACGCCGCGUGAGUGAAGAAGGUUUUCGGAUCGUAAAGCUCUGUUGUAAGUCAAGAACGUGUGUGAGAGUGGAAAGUUCACACAGUGACG